UACGAAGGGGGGCUAGCGUUGCUCGGAAUCACUGGGCGUAAAGGGUGCGUAGGCGGGUCUUUAAGUCAGGGGGUGAAAUCCUGGAGCUCAACUCCAGAACUGCCUUUGAUACUGAGGAUCUUGAGUUCGGGGAGAGGUGAGUGGAACUGCGAGUGUAGAGGUGAAAUUCGUAGAUAUUCGCAAGAACACCAGUGGCGAAGGCGGCUCACUGGCCCCGAUACUGACGCUGAGGCACGAAAGCGUGGGGGAGCAAACAGGG
rnacentral:rRNA from 1 species